rnacentral:rRNA from 1 species
GACGAACGCUGGCGGCGUGCCUAAUACAUGCAAGUGGGACGCAAGGAAACACACUGUGCUUGCACACCGUGUUUUCUUGAGUCGCGAACGGGUGAGUAACGCGUAGGUAACCUGCCUAUUAGCGGGGGAUAACUAUUGGAAACGAUAGCUAAUACCGCAUAAUAUUAAUUAUUGCAUGAUAAUUGAUUGAAAGAUGCAAGCGCAUCACUAGUAGAUGGACCUGCGUUGUAUUAGCUAGUUGGUAAGGUAAGAGCUUACCAAGGCGACGAUACAUAGCCGACCUGAGAGGGUGAUCGGCCACACUGGGACUGAGACACGGCCCAGACUCCUACGGGAGGCAGCAGUAGGGAAUCUUCGGCAAUGGACGAAAGUCUGACCGAGCAACGCCGCGUGAGUGAAGAAGGUUGUCGGAUCGUAAAGCUCUGUUGUAAGUCAAGAACGUGUGUGAGAGUGGAAAGUUCACACAGUGACGGUAGCUGACCAGAAAGGGACGGCUAACUACGUG